AAAUACAUCCUAAUAUAAUUAGAAGCAACCUAGGACUCAUAGUCAUCUCAAGAAUAUAUGUGAAAAAGUUUCCUUAUUAUAAGGAUCAUCCAACAUUACUCAUAUUUCCAUGCAGUGAUUGUUGGCACCGAGACAAACGAACUUCUCCACUAGAGCAAUUGCCGCAGGCGAUUGUUCCUCAAGCCAUCCAUUAUGCUGAUGCAGCUAGCUAUCGUGGACGGGUAACUUUAUCUUGUAGGUACUCUGUGUAUCCUUUCAUGAAUGCCACUCAUUCCCAUUGCAAAUUGUGCAAAAUGAUUUGACUCUUUCGUAACAGUGAUCAGGGGUAUGAUAAAAACAUUCAAAAAGAAAGUGGUGAACAAGGAGAUGCAUACAGCAGUGCAUGCAUGUGGCUUUCUAGAAAAACAAUGCUAAUUAGAUUGGCCAGGAUAGGAAAUAGUACUCAUACAGUCCUAGUUAUAUACAUAUAGGAAGAAGAGCAUAAGUAGACAGAGGUAGCCAGGGAACCAUAUAAUU
rnacentral:lncRNA from 1 species